GGUCUUUUAGUGUAGUGGUUAUCACUGCGGGUUUUGAUUCCGCCAACCCGAGUUCGAACCUCGGAAAGACCU